GUGGCCCGGCCCUUUCCCCUCGUGCUGUUUCUGCUGGAAACGCCGCACAGUCUCCUCGGGGGCAGCCGCCAGCGGAAACGGUUAUUGGCCGCCAGUUCUCAGGUUCUGUGAGACCAGAGCCUCAGUCUCCCGUGAGCAGAGGGUGUGUGUGUGGCUGCCACUAUUCUGCAGACACGCUGGCUCCACCCCAGAGAGUUGCAGGGCCAGGAAAUCUGCAUUUAAACAGACCCUGGCUCUCACACUUCGGAAACUGCCCGAAGCACCUCUCAAAUAUGGGACAGGUGCUUAGGCCGAAAAUCAGGAAUCUCUUGAAUGAAUGCAUGAAGGUGGAGCCCUUUCCCUUAAUGCGCAGGUGAAAAGGGCACCUCGGUGGAUUCUACUAAAUUUAAUAGAAGACCCAAGACGGGGUGGGGGAGACGUGCUUUGUGCUCACCUGGCUGGUUCAUGGGCAGGUGGCCUGGAGGACCCAGCCCUGGCAGCUGUGGGGUAGCUCCAGCCUGGGCCGGACAGCUUCUUUCAUCGCAGGCACCACUGCGGACAUUGCUGGGAGGAAGAGGAGGGAGAAGCGACGGGCUUCAUUAGGAACGGAAAUGCCAAGAUUAGUGAAAGAAUGAAAAGAGUCAAAACAGCCUAGAAAAGGCUUCAAUGAUCCUCAAACUGGAUGAUCGAAUCCCGAAUAAUUGGGAAUCAACAGUAAAGGCCAAAGCUUUCGAUGGAUUGGACGAGGCGCGUCCACCCUGGGGAGGGCCAUCAUUUUAUUCAGUCUACUGAUGCAAAUGCUUAUCUCUUCUGGAAACACCUUCACAGACAGACCCAGAAUAUAGUUGAACCAAAUACUGGGCACCUCAUGGCUCCAACAGGUUGACACAAAAAAUGAACCAUUGCAGAAAACGAAGAACAGUCACCAACUCCCACCCAUGCAGCUGGCUCAUUUGCUGGGCUGCCCUCCCCAGCAGGUGGCACAGGAAUCCCUGCCUUGGCAGGGAGGAGGCCUGGGGUGUGUGCAGGUACCCAUGGGAAGUUUCUUUGCCAUGGGGAAAGCCAGAGUCACCCCUUGCUUGAACACAAGAGUUGGAGGUUUCAGUGAGCUGAGAUUACGCUAUUGCACUCCAGCCUGGGCGGCAGAGUGAGACUCUGUCUCUAGAUAAAUAAAUUAAAUAAAUAAAUAAAUAUAAUUUAAUAUAAAUAACUAGAAAUUUUUCAAUACUUGCAUCUCUGUAGGUUACCUCUGGAAGUGCAGGGCUUUGUCUUUUUGGAUUAACUCAGAAAUUAGACCUUCAGAAAACAACAUCAGCUCUGAUUCUCUGCACCCUUGAUGCUGCCGGUGGCGACUGCGGCUUCCUGAUGGAAAUGUAGACCUGAACAUAAGUCGCAGAAAAAUGCAGACUUGAGUUGGAGCUAAGCUGACUCAGCCUCGCGGUGACCGCAGCCCUGGCUGACACCUUGCUUGCAGCCUGGUGAGAGACAGCAGCCCGAGGACCCUGCUAAGCUGCACCCAGGCUCCUGACCCAUGGAAACUGUGAGAUGAUAAACAU
rnacentral:lncRNA from 1 species